rnacentral:rRNA from 1 species
UACGGAAGGUGCAAGCGUUGUUCGGAUUGACUGGGCGUAAAGCGCACGUAGGCGGGUUUGUAAGUCGAUUGUGAAAUCCCUGGGCUUAACCUAGGAACUGCAGUCGAAACUGUGAAUCUUGAAUACCUGAGGGGUUAGUGGAAUUCCAGGUGUAGGAGUGAAAUCCGUAGAUAUCUGGAGGAACACCAGAGGCGAAGGCGACUAACUGGCAGUGUAUUGACGCUGAUGUGCGAAAGCGUGGGUAGCAAACAGG